AUUCCUACGGGAGGCAGCAGUGGGGAAUAUUGGGCAAUGGGCGCAAGCCUGACCCAGCAACGCCGCGUGAAGGAAGAAGGCUUCCGGGUUGUAAACUUCUUUUAAGAGGGAAGAGCAGAAGACGGUACCUCUUGAAUAAGCCACGGCUAACUACGUGCCAGCAGCCGCGGUAAUACGUAGGUGGCAAGCGUUGUCCGGAUUUAUUGGGUUUAAAGGGUGCGUAGGCGGUCCGUUAAGUCAGCGGUAAAAUUGCGGGGCUCAACCCCGUCGAGCCGUUGAAACUGGCAGACUUGAGUUGGCGAGAA
rnacentral:rRNA from 1 species